GACAGGUGGUGCAUGGUUGUCGUCAGCUCGUGUCGUGAGAUGUUGGGUUAAGUCCCGCAACGAGCGCAACCCUUAAGCUUAGUUGCCAUCAUUAAGUUGGGCACUCUAAGUUGACUGCCGGUGACAAACCGGAGGAAGGUGGGGAUGACGUCAAAUCAUCAUGCCCCUUAUGAUUUGGGCUACACACGUGCUACAAUGGACAAUACAAAGGGCAGCGAAACCGCGAGGUCAAGCAAAUCCCAUAAAGUUGUUCUCAGUUCGGAUUGUAGUCUGCAACUCGACUAUAUGAAGCUGGAAUCGCUAGUAAUCGUAGAUCAGCAUGCUACGGUGAAUACGUUCCCGGGUCUUGUACACACCGCCCGUCACACCACGAGAGUUUGUAACACCCGAAGCCGGUGGAGUAACCAUUUGGAGCUAGCCGUCGAAGGUGGGACAAAUGAUUGGGGUGAAGUCGUAACAAGGUAGCCGUAUCGGAAGGUGCGGCUGGAUCACCUCCUUUCUAAGGA
rnacentral:rRNA from 1 species